CUGACACUCUGUGCUAACAGAUGGGAGCAUUAGACUAAUGGGUUUAGCACAAAGCUCUGUCUCUCCCAGGCUUUCAGGAGAGCCAUCAGCAGUGCCCUGCACCUCUGGUCACCUUCAAAUGGACAGCAAGUCCGUGAUCCCACAUUUUUAGCAGCCCCUGUCAGUUCAGGACCGCAGCUAGCACCAGGCACGCAAGUGGCCUCAGCUGAGACCGCCCUUCACUGACAGUCACUGUGGGAGUGUUUCCCUGGAGCACUGAGCCACGUUUCCAGUUCUGACAGGGUUGGCAUUGGAUUCGGAUUGGUUCCAAGUGAUCAGGUGCGAAACCGGACCCGAGCUCCCGAACUGAAACCGCGAUCCCACGGGGAAACGCUGAGUGCAGAUUAUUCCUGUGUUGCUGAAGAAUGAAUGGUGCUGCUGCUGAUGAACACUUUGCUAACGGGCUGCUAUAUUCCUUCCAUGUUACAGUGGCAACUACAAUUCAAAAGUACUGAGUUGGCUGGAAAACACUUUGUGACAUCCUCAGAUUGUUAAAGCUGAUCUUUACCUGCAAGUCUUUUUUUUCUUCAAUGUUGGUGCAAGCCAUUGACUGUUUGAACACAUGUACAGAUCUGUUACUUGCAUUUCCUCCAUUUAAAAAGCACCCCUUACAACCAACUGAUAUCCCUAAAUGUUUUACAACCAAUGAAGACUUCUUAAAAGUGUAACCAAUAUAGUAAUGUAGGAGACGUCGCAAAUAAUUUGCAGGCAGUAAGAGCCCAGUUUUAGUGGUGCAGGUUGAGAGAUAUGUAAUCACCAGAACACUGACUGAACUCUGACUGACUGAGCCGCAGUAUUAUGCUACAACUAUACAAAAUGCUGGUGCGGCCACACUUGGAAUAUUGUGUACAGUUCUGGCCCCUAUAUUCCG